GCCUGGGUGGCUCAGUAGAUUGAGCGUCUGACUUUAGCUCAGUUCAUGAUCUUAAAAUUUGUGGGUUUAAGCCCUGCAUCAGGCU
rnacentral:tRNA from 1 species